AUGAUUAAAUGUUGUCCUGGAGGUGAUGCAAUGGGUUUUGUGGGCCUGGAAAUGCAAAGUUUUGGAAAAAGGGACUCAAUCCCCUUUCUCUGUGGGAGCAGUGCAUCAUCUGACCAGCAGCACCAGCCCAAAAAGCGACAGAGGACACUGAGACCAGGAGAACAACAGAGGCUAACUACAAAGGUAACACACACAUACACAAAAAUCGUCAAAAGAUGGCGUAUAGAUUAUAUUUCUAAAGAAAAUGAAAUAGUGGAAUCAUAGUUAUAUUGUAAAUAAUUGUGUGUGUGUGUGUGUAGAAGCAUUCUUGCAGUGAUUCUUUGUAAAUAUUAUUUUGUGAUCAUUUGUGGUCAUUUUCAUCAUCAAGAGGGCUUGCGGAUAACCACAUGCACAAAGUAAACAGCAAAGUAGUACUGUGUGUUGAGCUCUUCCACCUUUAGAAAGCUGUGCGACGCUGCUGGGGGCAAGAUAGAACAGAACACAGAAUGUGAAGUAUACCAGGGGCGGGCCUUAAAGCAGCCUCCUUAACGCACACCUAAAAUUUUUAUUUUUAUUUUAAAUUCGAUGAAUAUUCGAAAUUCAAAUUAUUUUUCGGCAGCCCUAGUUCACAUUAGCGAUUUUUCAUGCAAACCGUGCCCCGUUCUGCAUUAAACUUCCAGUGUGAAAGCCCCCAAAGUCAAGACCAGAGCACCCCUUCAAUAAUCACUGGUAAUGAAAACCUGCUCUUAACAAGCAGAAUCACUGAAGGAUCCAGACUUCAAUCAACAAUUAAUCACAUAAUUAUCUAAUUAAUUUCAACUGCUUCAGUGUUACUUUACCACUCUGUAGAUUGGGAAAUGGAAAAAACUUUGUAUAACUGUCAUCAUCUCACCCCAGAGUCCUUCAUUGCAGAUCUUCUGUUCAUCCUUUUAGUAAGGCUGUAAGAAGAAAAAUGCAAAAAUCGGCACAUUGACAUAAAAAUAUAUUAAAGCAAUAAAGCCCCAAAAAGCCUGGGUUUGUUUGGCUUAUUGCUUUAUUAAAUGGUUAUUCCAUAGAUGUAGC
rnacentral:lncRNA from 1 species